rfam:TPA: Bos taurus chromosome 4, whole genome shotgun sequence.
UCCCUGAUAGCUCAGUUGGUAAAGAAUCUGCCUGCAAUGCAGAGGACCUGGGUUCAAUCCCUGGGUUGGGAA